UGUCACAGUCUACGCGACUUGACUUUCAUAUUUUAAAUGAAUUGAUAUUAUACCAACAACACCCACCCACAUCCCAGGCGCUGGGAAACCGGGCUCCGACGCGCUGGGUGCCGCAGCCCCAGCCUCUCCCCAGCCGCUCUCUUCUUCCACCGGAUCCCAAGGAAGCUGGGUCUUUCGGGCUGUGCACCUGCACGUAAGAAAGGCAGCAGAGAAGCUGGAAGAGGCGCAAGCAGCUAUUACCCGACGAGUCGUUGUUUUAGCUAGGAAAGAAACGGAAGAGGGAGACGCUGUCGCCAGCCGCGCCCUGGGAUCGCCCCUGCUCGGAACGACUCUAAAACGAGGAACCGUCGCUCAGACGGAAAAACUGCGGGAAAAGUGGUGUUUUGAAGCCUGCAGAUUUUUCCCCAAGCGGGGACAGACGGGGGUGUCGGAGCCGAGGGCUCGGGGGGGCUGAGACCGGCGGAGGUCAGGGCUGCCCACCCGAGGCUCCCCACGCUGCCGCCUGCUCGCCGGCCGGGCUGUCCCGGGGCCGGGGCCAACCCCCCCCGUGCCACCAGGGGCAUUGGGGGGCGGAGGAGCGGGGGGUUGCGAUUUUCCCCUCAUCCCCGCUGGAAGAGAAGGAUGUUUUCCUCCGCUGUUUAGCUUUCGUACUAAAGAUGUCAUCUGAAAGUCUGGGAGGAAGGGGGGACCGUGCUCUGCUCUCUUCCACGGUAACAACCAUAUUCUGCAUAUUGAAAAUAUGAUAGACAGUGGGAACGGCUUUUUUUUUUUUUUUUUUUUUUGCCCCCCUUAAGAAAAAAAAAAAAAAAAAAAAAAAAGAACCAACCUUUUCAAUAUUGAUUCAACAAAAAAGAGAGGGAGAGAAUUUAAAAAGAGAAGAAGCAGCACCAGCAGCAGGGAGAAUAUACGCUCAGCAACUCUCCAGGUUCGCUUCCUUAUUAUUACUAUCCAGGGGUAAUUUUUCAUCUCUGCUAGCUAAUCUUUGUUCCUUGUGAAGAUAAUGAAUAGCCCAAUCCUUAUCUCCUGGGCUCCUGGAGGCUGCUGGAGAAUGGGGUUGAACAGGGUUGAAAAUUGGUUCCAAAGUGCUGCUGAAUAAAUGGUGUUCCUUA